rnacentral:rRNA from 1 species
UUACCAUGCAGUCGAACGGCAGCACGGGGGCAACCCUGGUGGCGAGUGGCGAACGGGUGAGUAAUACAUCGGAACGUGUCCUGUAGUGGGGGAUAGCCCGGCGAAAGCCGGAUUAAUACCGCAUACGCUCUACGGAGGAAAGGGGGGGAUCUCAGGACCUCCCGCUACAGGGGCGGCCGAUGGCAGAUUAGCUAGUUGGUGGGGUAAAGGCCUACCAAGGCGACGAUCUGUAGCUGGUCUGAGAGGACGACCAGCCACACUGGGACUGAGACACGGCCCAGACUCCUACGGGAGGCAGCAGUGGGGAAUUUUGGACAAUGGGCGAAAGCCUGAUCCAGCAAUGCCGCGUGUGUGAAGAAGGCCUUCGGGUUGUAAAGCACUUUUGUCCGGAAAGAAAACCUCCGCCCUAAUAUGGUGGGGGGAUGACGGUACCGGAAGAAUAAGCACCGGCUAACUACGUGCCAGCAGCCGCGGUAAUACGUAGGGUGCAAGCGUUAAUCGGAAUUACUGGGCGUAAAGCGUGCGCAGGCGGUCCGCUAAGACAGAUGUGAAAUCCCCGGGCUUAACCUGGGAACUGCAUUUGUGACUGGCGGGCUAGAGUAUGGCAGAGGGGGGUAGAAUUCCACGUGUAGCAGUGAAAUGCGUAGAGAUGUGGAGGAAUACCGAUGGCGAAGGCAGCCCCCUGGGCCAAUACUGACGCUCAUGCACGAAAGCGUGGGGAGCAAACAGGAUUAGAUACCCUGGUAGUCCACGCCCUAAACGAUGUCAACUAGUUGUUGGGGAUUCAUUUCCUUAGUAACGUAGCUAACGCGUGAAGUUGACCGCCUGGGGAGUACGGUCGCAAGAUUAAAU